CACUGAGGCACGAAAGCUGGGGGAGCAAACAGGAUUAGAUACCCUGGUAGUCCCAGCCCUAAACGGUGUGCACUUGUCGUGGGGGGUAUCGAUCCCCUCCGUGACGGAGCUAACGCAUUAAGUGCCCCGCCUGGGGAAUACGGUCGCAAGGUUGAAACUCAAAGGAAUUGACGGGGGCCCGCACAAGCGGUGGAGCAUGUGGUUUAAUUCGAUGCGACGCGAAGAACCUUACCUGGGUUUGACAUGUUAGUAGUAAAAACCUGAAAAGGGGCUGACCCUGAGGUAACUCAGGGAGCUAACACAGGUGCUGCAUGGCUGUCGUCAGCUCGUGCCGUGAGGUGUUGGGUUAAGUCCCGCAACGAGCGCAACCCUUAUCCUCUGUUGGUCGUAAACGAUCUCUCUGGGGAAACUGCCGGCGAUGAGCUGGAGGAAGGUGGGGAUGACGUCAAGUCAGCAUGGCCCUUAUGUCCAGGGCGACACACGUGCUACAAUGGCUGCUACAGAGGGAUGCAAUACCGUGAGGUGGAGCCAAUCCUUAAAAGCAGUCUCAGUGGGGAUCGGAGUCUGCAAUUCGACUCCGUGAACGCGGAAUCGCUAGUAAUCAUGGAUCAGCCAUGCCAUGGUGAAUACGUUCCCGGGCCUUGUACACACCGCCCGUCACACCACGAAAGCCUGUUGUACCCGAAG
rnacentral:rRNA from 1 species